CACGUACAGUAAAUCGGACAAUGGGACUGGCUCACGUGAAAGGAGUUCACCUGUUACACAGUGGCUGUUAGGAUGCAUAACAUAUACGUGGUCCAGAUGUCUCCCAGCUCAGCUUAAGAGGCCCAAUGCCUGGUCAGGCCAUGUGCUCAGUGGAUAGUCCCAGAAGGCC